rnacentral:rRNA from 1 species
UACAGAGGUCCCGAGCGUUGUUCGGAUUCACUGGGCGUAAAGGGUGCGUAGGUGGCUUGGAAAGUCUGAUGUGAAAUCUCGGAGCUCAACUCCGAAACGGCAUUGGAUACUACUGAGCUUGAGGUUCGGAGGGGAGACUGGAAUUCUUGGUGUAGCAGUGAAAUGCGUAGAUAUCAAGAGGAACACCGGUGGCGAAGGCGAGUCUCUGGACGGAUCCUGACACUGAGGCACGAAAGCUAGGGGAGCAAACAGGAUUAGAAACCCUAGUAGUCC